AAUAAAAGUUUGGCAAUGAAAAAAGAAGUUAUAAAUUGUAAUGAUCCUAAAAUAUACAUCAAUUAUUUGACAGAUGCCCAUGUUAUGUGGAUCCACAGCCAUACUGUAAGAUGGUUCAGAAUCCUGCCUCCAAGUGCUGCAUGAAACCCUCGUGCAAUGCUUGUUCACAAACACCUACACCACAGACAUACACACCAGAUUUGCAAUGCAUGCUACUAUCCCACAAGGCUGUGAACUGGUUCCUGACCCAAAAGAGCCCUCGUGCUGCUGGGUACCAAGUUGUUUGAUCCCUCCGAAACAAACCAUUGGUACAGUGGUUGCUCCUGAACCUACUGGAACGGUAACAGAUGUCCACUGUUUCCACCUUCAUCUUGUCCUUAGAGAGCCGACACUGCACACUCGUGUUGUUUGAUAUCAGAUUGUAACAUUGGUAAAAUUCCUGCCACAGUCUAUCCACUAGGAUACAGCUCGUAUACAAUAAAUCCAAUCAUUAAACCAACAUCAGUAACUGGUGGCUACAUCAUUGGUGG
rnacentral:lncRNA from 1 species